CACGUAGGGUGCGAGCGUUGUCCGGAAUUAUUGGGCGUAAAGAGCUCGUAGGCGGUGUGUCGCGUCGGCCGUGAAAACCUGCAGCUUAACUGUGGGCUUGCGGUCGAUACGGGCAGACUAGAGUGCGGUAGGGGAGACUGGAAUUCCUGGUGUAGCGGUGAAAUGCGCAGAUAUCAGGAGGAACACCGGUGGCGAAGGCGGGUCUCUGGGCCGUAACUGACGCUGAGGAGCGAAAGCGUGGGGAGCGAACAGG
rnacentral:rRNA from 1 species